UCCUACGGGAGGCAGCAGUGGGGAAUAUUGCGCAAUGGGGGGAACCCUGACGCAGCCAUGCCGCGUGAAUGAAGAAGGCCUUCGGGCUGUAAAGUUCUUUCGGUAAUGAGGAAGGGAUGUUGUUAAAUAGAUAGCAUCAUUGACGUUAAUUACAGAAGAAGCACCGGCUAACUCCGUGCCAGCAGCCGCGGUAAUACGGAGGGUGCGAGCGUUAAUCGGAAUAACUGGGCGUAAAGGGCACGCAGGCGGACUUUUAAGUGAGAUGUGAAAUCCCCGAGCUUAACUUGGGAACUGCAUUUCAGACUGGGAGUCUAGAGUACUUUAGGGAGGGGUAGAAUUCCACGUGUAGCGGUGAAAUGCGUAGAGAUGUGGAGGAAUACCGAAGGCGAAGGCAGCCCCUUGGGAAUGUACUGACGCUCAUGUGCGAAAGCGUGGGGAGCAAACAGGAUUAGAUACCCUGGUAGUCC
rnacentral:rRNA from 1 species